ensembl:lncRNA
CGGAGGACUUAACCCACAAAAACCCUCUCAUGAAUAACCAAGUCCAACACACCCCCAGAAGCCUCCUGGGAGGGCAAGACCUGUAGUGCUUCUGCUGUAGUCUUCAAGUCUUCAAGCCCCAAAAUCUUCUUGGCUGCAGCAGAUAUGAUACCCAGCUAAUUGGACUUCUUGGACACUUGGACUGCAGCUUUUCCUCCUUUGGCAGACGCCCUGCUCCGAAGGAGCUACUCAACAAACAGGACAUUCCUGGAUCACUGAGUAGAGAGACCAUAGGAGAGGACCUGAGCCCUAGGACCAUGCCUCAGGACUACCUAGUCUGAUGACUCCUUGCUGUCCCCAGUCCACCUGGCUGUGCUGCUGCUCCAGUUUCAACUGUUCUGCCUGCGGCUAUGGAACCCUGACCUGUUCACCGGACAUGCUACCUGUCCCAGACCUACUGUUUUCAACUCUCUAGAGACAGCAGGAGCGGUAGAGAUACUCUGAAUGAUCAGCUAUGAAAAGCCAACUGACAUUUACUCCUGAGGUGCUGACCUGUUUGCACCCUCGACAACCACUGUGAUUAUUAUUAUUUGACCCUGCUGGUCAUCUAUGAACAUUUGAACAUCUUGGCCAUGUUCUGUUACAAUCUCUACCCGGCACAGCCAGAAGAGGACUGGCCACCCCUCAUAGCCUGGUUCCUCUCUAGGUUUCUUCCUAGGUUCUGGCCUUUCUAGGGAGUUUUUCCUAGCCACCGUGCUGCUUCACCUGCAUUGCUUGCUGUUUGGGGUUUUAGGCUGCGUUUUGUGACAUCAGCUGAUGUAAGAAGGGCUUUAUAAAUACAUUUGAUUGAAUGCCACUCAGACAUUGCUCAUCCUAAUUAGAGGUCGACCGAUUAUUAUUUUUCAAUGCCGAUACCGAUACCGAUUAUUGGAGGACCAAAUAAGGCCGAUACCGAUUAAUCUGACAAAUUUUAACUUAUUUAUUUUGAAUAAUGACAAUUACAACAAUACUGAAUGAACACUUAUUUUAACUUAAUAUAAUACAUAAAUAAAAUCAAUUUUGCCUCAAGUAAAUAAUGAAACAUGUUCAAUUUGGUUUAAAUAAUGCAAAAACAAAGUGUUGGACAAGAAAGUAAAAGUGCAAUAUGUGCUAUAUAAGAAAGCUUCACGUUUCAAUUCCUUGCUCAGAACAUGAGAACAUAUGAAAGCUGGUGGUUCCUUUUAACAUGAGUCUUCAAUAUUCC